rnacentral:miRNA from 1 species
CUGGGAACUUGUAGAUUGAUGACA